UACGUAGGUGACCAGCGUUGUCCGGAUUUACUGGGCGUAAAGAGCGCGCAGGCGGUCGUUCAAGUCGAGUGUGAAAGCCCCCGGCUCAACUGGGGAGGGUCACUUGAUACUGAUCGACUCGAAGGCAGGAGAGGGAAGCGGAAUUCCCGGUGUAGUGGUGAAAUGCGUAGAUAUCGGGAGGAACACCAAUGGCGAAGGCAGCUCACUGGGACGGUAUUGACGCUGAGACGCGAAAGCGUGGGGAGCAAACAGG
rnacentral:rRNA from 1 species